rnacentral:rRNA from 1 species
AACGAACGCUGGCGGCAGGCCUAACACAUGCAAGUCGAACGCCGUAGCAAUACGGAGUGGCAGACGGGUGAGUAACGCGUGGGAACAUACCCUCCGGUUCGGAAUAACUCAGGGAAACUUGAGCUAAUACCGGAUACGUCCAAGGUUUUAAUCGGCCUCGGAGAAAGAUUUAUCGCUGGAGGAUUGGCCCGCGUCUGAUUAGCUUGUUGGUGAGGUAAUGGCUCACCAAGGCGACGAUCAGUAGCUGGUCUGAGAGGAUGAUCAGCCACAUUGGGACUGAGACACGGCCCAAACUCCUACGGGAGGCAGCAGUGGGGAAUAUUGGACAAUGGGCGAAAGCCUGAUCCAGCCAUGCCGCGUGAGUGAUGAAGGCCUUAGGGUUGUAAAGCUCUUUUACCCGGGAAGAUAAUGACGGUACCGGGAGAAUAAGCCCCGGCUAACUUCGUGCCAGCCGCCGCCGU